rnacentral:rRNA from 1 species
CGCCAGACUCCUACGGGAGGCAGCAGUGGGGAAUAUUGCACAAUGGGGGAAACCCUGAUGCAGCGACGCCGCGUGAGCGAAGAAGUAUUUCGGUAUGUAAAGCCCUAUCGGCAGGGAAGAAGGAGGACGGUACCUGACUAAGAAGCCCCGACUAACUACGUGCCAGCAGCCGCGGUAAUACGUAGGGGGCAAGCGUUAUCCGGAUUUACUGGGUGUAAAGGGGGCGCAGACGGCAGCGCAAGCCAGGAGUGAAAGCCCGGGGCCCAACCCCGGGACUGCUCUUGGAACUGCGCGGCUGGAGUGCAGGAGGGGCAGGCGGAAUUCCUGGUGUAGCGGUGAAAUGCGUAGAUAUCAGGAGGAACACCGGUGGCGAAGGCGGCCUGCUGGAUUGCAACUGACGUUGAGGCCCGAAAGCGUGGGGAGCAAACAGGAUUAGAUACCCUCGUA